rnacentral:rRNA from 1 species
ACGCCUAACACAUGCAAGUCGAACGAAGUAGCAAUACUUAGUGGCAGACGGGUGAGUAACAUGUGGGUAUCUGCCCUUUGGCCUGGAAUAACACGAGGAAACUUGUGCUAAUACCGGAUAAGUCUUUACGGAGAAAGCUUUAUGCACCAUUGGAUGAGCCCGCACUUGAUUAGUUUGUUGGUAGGGUAAUGGCCUACCAAGACUGUGAUCAAUAGCUGAUUUGAGAGGAUGAUCAGCCACAUUGGGACUGAGACACGGCCCAAACUCCUACGGGAGGCAGCAGUGGGGAAUCUUGCACAAUGGAGGAAACUCUGAUGCAGCGAUGCCGCGUGAGUGAAGAAGGCCCUUGGGUUGUAAAGCUCUUUCGUCGGGGAAGAAAAUGACUGUACCCGAAUAAGAAGGUCCGGCUAACUUCGUGCCAGCAGCCGCGGUAAUACGAAGGGACCUAGCGUAGUUCGGAAUUACUGGGCUUAAAGAGUUCGUAGGUGGUUGAAAAAGUUGGUGGUGAAAUCCCAGAGCUUAACUCUGGAACUGCCAUCAAAACUUUUCAGCUAGAGUAUGAUAGAGGAAAGCAGAAUUUCUAGUGUAGAGGUGAAAUUCGUAGAUAUUAGAAAGAAUACCAAUUGCGAAGGCAGCUUUCUGGAUCAUUACUGACGCUGAGGAACGAAAGCAUGGGUAGCGAAGAGGAUUAGAUACCCUCGUAGUCCAUGCCGUAAACGAUGUGUGUUAGACGUUGGAAAUUUAUUUUCAGUGUCGCAGCGAAAGCGAUAAACACACCGCCUGGGGAGUACGACCG